UAAAAGAAAAUUUAUAUACUUAUAUGUAAUUCUAUAACAUAAGUUGUAGCUGGCUAUAAUGGUACUUCGUAGUAAGUAUAACUUUUAACUAAUGAGAUCCGGUGUUCGAUCCUUUUUACAUGACAUGACCUUCGGUAUGGCCCUCCUCUAUCAUCCAAAGAAACGAACAGAGAUAACUUCGGCGUUAUUAUGCUCCUUUCUACCCUUCCCAUGAUUCCUCUGAUCCUAAAAACUUCCGCGUGGGAGUCCUCAGGGCCCGUUCGCACUACAACAAAAUACCUAUUUAGCGGCAUUUGUCUAGUGGGAUUUAUUACAAAUGCCGUUAUAUGACAACUAUAGGCGGCAUUUGCUAGUGGCAUUUGAUUAAUUUGCCGCCUAAGGCCCAUUUUAGAUCCGCGGCCCAGUAUUCCUUACAACACAAAGUAUUGAUAAAAAAAAAAUUGAACUACUUUACUGAUGAAAACAUAAAACGUCUUUGCUAAACCCUCAAAGAAAUUUGCCACCUCCAUCGUCUCUCAUCAUUGUCACCCUCAAUUUCUCAACAUUCUCAAUUGCAGACUCCAUUCAAGGACACAAAUCGGGACAUAUAUUCACCAAUUUUAACAUUCGGGUUUUCCAUAUCAAGGCGAUGAGGAUUGAGGACUCUAGUAAUAUCUUUUUUUUUCAGGUGAUCAUAAAAUCUUUCACAACAUCAUACCGACGGUUUCAAAUACUGUAUUCACAUUCACUAGGUUCCACAGAAAAAUUGUACAUUGUUAUCUCCUUUGUAUAUGAAACAAAGUAACUAUAAAGUUUGUUAGUUUAGAGCCUACUUAGGAUUAUUAGGCAAAUCAAAAGUUAGGAUAUUGUGUUGUACUAAUUGUAAUGUACUUGUUACAUCAAUGAAA